GUAGGUUCACUUUCAAGUUGAGAAAAAAAGUUCACUUUCAUGCAUUAUAUACUUGCUUUCGUUUAUGAUUUGUCCAUUUCCAUUUCCUUGACUUUGUUUUAAAAUGCAAGCAAGGUUUCUUUUUUUAACCUUUUUCUGUUUUUGUUAUUUUAUAUUUUAUUUUGUCAGUAGUAGUGGUUCUUUUGGAGGUUGAAUUUUUGUUUAGCUUGUCAUUAAGGAAAUGUAAGCGGGGGCGGUCAUAAGUGUAAGAAUAGUGGGAGGGGAUGCGAUUAUGCUAAUGAGUUUCCUUUAAUAGUGAGUUUGUAUUUGGGAUUGAGUUUGAGUCCAUACUUGUUUACCUUAGUUGUGAAUAAGCUGACCAAUCAUAUUUAAGAUGAUAUCCCAUGGUGCAUGUUAUUUGUGAAUGAUGUUGUCUUAGUGGACGAAACUAGUGAAGUUUUUUUGGCUAAAUAGAAGUAAGACUGUAAGAUGGAAUAUGUGCAUUUCAAGUUUAGCUCUCAUCAAAGGAAAUGAGGUGACAUUCUAUUGGAUUGAGUUUUAAUGCUAAAAUGCAACCAAUUCAAGUAUUUGUGGUCUAUCAUCUAGAAGAGUGGAGUAAUAUAUGAGGAUUUAACUUAUAGGAUCAAAAUAGGAUGGAUGAGAUAGGGGAGUGUGAUGGGUGUGUUAUGCAACCAUAUGAUCCUUGACAAAGUGAAAGAUAAGUUCUAUAGAAUUGUGGUCAAACUAACCAUGUCGCAUGGGAGUGAAUGUUGGGCAUCUAAGGUACAACUUACUUACAAGAUAAGUGUGGGGCAAAAAUGUGAAGUUAAGAUAAAUAUUAAGAUAGAUUAGGAAUGACCACAUUCAUAUAGAGUACAUGUAGCACACAUUGGAUAUAAAAUGAAUGAGGGUCGAUUAAGAUGGCUUGGUCAUAUCCAACGUAGAACAUUGAAUGCCCCAAUACAAAAGUAUGACAAGCUAGUGGUAGGAGUGGAAAUGAAAAUGGGGAGACUUAAAAUGGUGUGGAUGGAAAAGCUAUAAAAAAAGAUUUAGAAUUUUUGGAUGUUAAUGCAAAAUUGGUUUCUAAUAGAGCUGAAUGACAAAAAAGGAUCUAUUAGCCGACUCCAACUAGUUUGGGAUUAGGACUUAGUUGUUUUUGUUGUGAACUUGAUCAUUAUCCUUUCAAAUAUAGUUAACCUUGAAUUGGGCACAAUUAAUUGAUAUUAAUGGAGUCCAAUCCUAAGAUUAUUUGCAACUUCUACCACUUGUUUUAUUUGCGAU
rnacentral:misc_RNA from 1 species